UACGGAGGGUGCAAGCGUUAAUCGGAUUUACUGGGCGUAAAGCGCACGUAGGUGGUUUGUUAAGUUGGAUGUGAAAUCCCCGGGCUCAACCUGGGAGCGGCAUUCAAUACUGGCAAACUGGAGUACGAGAGAGGGGGGUGGAAUUCCAGGUGUAGCGGUGAAAUGCGUAGAUAUCUGGAGGAACACCGGUGGCGAAGGCGGCCCCCUGGCUCGAUACUGACACUGAGGUGCGAAAGCGUGGGGAGCAAACAGG
rnacentral:rRNA from 1 species